CACAUGCAAGUCGAACGCAGUAGCAAUACUGAGUGGCAGACGGGUGAGUAACAUGUGGGAAUCUGCCUUGUGGUUCAGGACAACAUUGGGAAACCGAUGCUAAUACUGGAUAAGCCCUUACGGGGAAAGUUUUAAUGCCAUAAGAUGAGCCCGCAUUUGAUUAGUUAGUUGGUGAGGUAAUGGCUCACCAAGACAAUGAUCAAUAGCUGAUCUGAGAGGAUGAUCAGCCACACUGGGACUGAGACACGGCCCAGACUCCUACGGGAGGCAGCAGUGGGGAAUCUUGCACAAUGGAGGAAACUCUGAUGCAGCGAUGCCGCGUGAGUGAAGAAGGCCUUUGGGUUGUAAAGCUCUUUUGUAGGGGAAGAUAAUGACUGUACCCUAAGAAUAAGGUCCGGCUAACUUCGUGCCAGCAGCCGCGGUAAUACGAAGGGACCUAGCGUAGUUCGGAAUUACUGGGCGUAAAGCGCGCGUAGGCCGUUGAGUUAGUUAAUUGUGAAAUCCCAAAGCUUAACUUUGGAACUGCAAUUAAAACUGCUCGACUAGAGUUUGAUAGAGGAAAGCGGAAUACAUAGUGUAGAGGUGAAAUUCGUAGAUAUUAUGUAGAACACCAGUUGCGAAGGCGGCUUUCUGGAUCAACACUGACGCUGAGGCGCGAAAGUAUGGGUAGCAAAGAGGAUUAGAUACCCUCGUAGUCCAUACCAUAAACGAUGAUUGCUAGAUGUUGGAAAUUUAUUUUCAGUAUCGCAGCUAACGCAUUAAGCAAUCCGCCUGGGGAGUACGACCGCAAG
rnacentral:rRNA from 1 species